rnacentral:sRNA from 1 species
AAAGCCAAAUAUAACAUAUACUGAUUUUAAACGGUUGCAAUCACAAGAAAAUUAUUUGCGGAAGUAAAAGAACAACGUUUAAAUGUUUUUUCAAGAAAUAAAAUUUUAACUGAAGAAUACAUGCAGAAAUGAAGUUAUACUUUGCAGGAUUGAUAGUUUUAGUUUGUGCUGAUGCCAUGAGUGUUAGUAAUACACCAAAACCAUAUGGAAUAUUUCGAAUUAAAGAUGAAAAAUACGAAGGAUCAAUGCAAAUAAAAGAGAAAUCAAAAUCAGAAGUAAAGAUAAACGAUUAAAAGAAUGAUAAUAACUUUAAAAAUGAUGGCAUUGAUGUUGAGAUCAGCAAUUUUGUCGGCAAUAAUGAUAAUAGUAAUCAAAACGAUAACAAGAAAAAUACACCAGUUUUAAAAGGAGAAAACAAGCUAAAUCAAGAACGCAAGAAAAAAAAUGCAAAAAGAAUGGUCGCAAAAAAACCAAAAAAAAGUACCAAGAAGCAAAUCGCGUCAAAGAAGAACAACCUGAAAAAGUUAAACCUUAAAAAAAAAGAAAAUUAACUCAUCUAAAUGCGUAAGUUUUACUUUUGGUGAGCGAUUAUGCACAAUAUUGGAACAAAACCUUAUUAAGAUUAUUUCUAGAUAGUGUAAAAACAUUUGUUGUCAAUGUUUGUUGAAUUUAAGUAAAUAUAAACUCUGUUUAGUUAUUUUA